UCAUGAAAGCCGGUUGUACCCGAAGUCCAUGUUGCUAACCGCAAGGAAGCAGUGGCCGAAGGUAUGGCUGGUGAUUGGGAUG
rnacentral:rRNA from 1 species